UACAGAGGGUGCGAGCGUUGUUCGGAAUUAUUGGGCGUAAAGGGCGCGUAGGCGGCGCGGUAUGUCACCUGUGAAAUCUCCUGGCUCAACUGGGAGCUUGCAGGCGAAACUGCCGUGCUGGAGUGUGGGAGAGGUGCGUGGAAUUCCCGGUGUAGCGGUGAAAUGACGCAGAUAUCGGGAAGAACACCCGUGGCGAAGGCGGCUCUCUGGGACGGUACUGACGCUGAGACGCGAAAGCGUGGGGAGCGAACAGG
rnacentral:rRNA from 1 species